UACGUAGGGGGCAAGCGUUGUCCGGAAUCAUUGGGCGUAAAGAGCGUGUAGGCGGUUUGGUAGGUCCGUUGUGAAAACUCGAGGCUCAACCUCGAGACGCCGGCGGAAACCAUCAGGCUAGAGUCCGGAAGAGGAGAGUGGAAUUCCUGGUGUAGCGGUGAAAUGCGCAGAUAUCAGGAAGAACACCCGUGGCUAAGGCGGCUCUCUAGUACGGUACUGACGCUGAGACGCGAAAGCGUGGGGAGCGAACAGG
rnacentral:rRNA from 1 species